AUUGAACGCUGGCGGCAUGCCUUACACAUGCAAGUCGAACGGCAGCACGGGUGCUUGCACCUGGUGGCGGGUGGCGAACGGGUGAGUAAUACAUCGGAACGUACCUUAUCGUGGGGGAUAACGCAGCGAAAGCUGUGCUAAUACCGCAUACGCCCUGAGGGGGAAAGCGGGGGAUCGCAAGACCUCGCGCGAUUAGAGCGGCCGAUGCCUGAUUAGCUUGUUGGUAGGGUAAAAGCCCACCAAGGCGACGAUCAGUAGCUGGUCUGAGAGGACGAUCAGCCACACUGGGACUGAGACACGGCCCAGACUCCUACGGGAGGCAGCAGUGGGGAAUUUUGGACAAUGGGGGCAACCCUGAUCCAGCAAUGCCGCGUGGGUGAAGAAGGCCUUCGGGUUGUAAAGCUCUUUUGUCAGGGAAGAAACACCGGCUCUAACACAGUCUGGGAAUGACGGUACCUGAAGAAUAAGCACCGGCUAACUACGUGCCAGCCGCCGCCGUAA
rnacentral:rRNA from 1 species